ACUGGGGAUAUGGCUUAGUGGUAGAGUGCUUGCCUGGCAUGUGUGAGGCCCUGGGUUCAAUCCCCAGCCCCAGAA
rnacentral:tRNA from 1 species